UCGGGCUGAAGACUCUACUUGACUAGCUGAGAGGAGGUGCGAUGGCCGUCGUCAGUUCGUACUGUGAAGCAUCCUGUUAAGUCAGGCAACGAGCGAGACCCACGCCAACAGUUGCCAGCUCGUCCUCCGGGAUGGUGGGGACACUGUUGGGACCGCCUCUGCUAAAGAGGAGAAGGAAUGGGCAACGGUAGGUCAGCAUGCCCCGAAUUAUCUGGGCUACACGCGGGCUACAAUGGGUGGGACAAUGGGUAUCGACACCGAAAGGUGAAGGCAAUCUCCUAAACCCAUCCGUAGUUCGGAUUGUGGGCUGCAACUCGCCCACAUGAAGCUGGAAUCUGUAGUAAUCGUGUCUCAAAAUGGCACGGUGAAUAUGUCCCUGCUCCUU
rnacentral:rRNA from 1 species